rnacentral:misc_RNA from 1 species
AUGAGUUUAGACACAAGACCCAGUUCGAUUGGUGGCCAGAUCGGCCAAAUUUUGGCCGGGAAGACGAACGGUCGCACGCGCGUGCGCGUCGCUUCAGGAGCCUUUUCCGGCGUUCAAGGCGGUGGCCGGCCGUGGGGGAGGAGUGAGGCGGUGCGCCGGCGAGCUGGGGUGGCAGGGGAGGUGGCGGUGCAACAAGGGGAGUAGGGAGGAAAGAGAAAAAGGGAGGGAGGUCGGGACGCGCGCGGGGAGGAGAAAGAAAAGGAAGAAGACCGGUCCGAUUCGACCUGUCCGAUCCGGUCCGGUUUGAUUCGUCCGGUUCAAUUCAGAAUACAAAAUUUUGAAUU